rnacentral:misc_RNA from 1 species
CGCGAGGCUCGUGAGGGUGCUCAGAGCCGCAUUCGCGCCAAUCAGGAAGCAGCCACCGGCCCCUUCCGGGGACUGACGACCGAGAGUGUUGAGGAGCAGGCGCGUAAAGAGCAGGCCGCAGAAGCCGCCGCCAUCCUGCGAGCGCAGGUCAACGAACAAGAAGGCUUGGCCGAGAUCGAGCGCCGCCGCGCGGCGGAACAGAAAACCGCCAACGCCGCCAACAAACAGUCCUUCAUGGAAGAAAUUGCGUUCAUGAAGGAAGAAGAACGCUUGCAGCGUCAGGUUGUCUCUGCCAAUGCCGCCGAGACCGCCGAGAAGAA